GUGCAAGCUAAAAUGGCCGCUGCCUCGUGGUCGACAUGCAAACGACGGCCACCUUGUAUUCGGUUUUAAUUGAGAAAUAUCUGCGGUUAACCACAGCGUUCUAAUUGGGAUCAAGAGGUUAACCAGCAGCACACGUCUAUCCUGGGUGGCCAUCCGUUCGGUAGGUUUGUUCGGUAAAACGGGUCAUUCGUAUGCAUGGGCUAUGGAAACAGCCAUUUACACGAAAGGAAGGCAAAAUAGAUGAAUCCACCACGAAUAGGCAUCCAGAUGGUUCUUUCACAGUCCCCAACUCAGAGACCGAUCUACCUGGAUCCAACCAGGACCACCACCACCUCCGAGAGCAGUAGCCCAUUGUUACCAGGCCGAGGCACC